rnacentral:rRNA from 1 species
CCUACGGGAGGCAGCAGUGAGGAAUAUUGGUCAAUGGGAGAGAUCCUGAACCAGCCAAGCCGCGUGAGGGAAGACGGCCCUAUGGGUUGUAAACCUCUUUUGUCGGAGAACAAAACCCGGGACGUGUCCCGGACUGCGUGUAUCCGAAGAAAAAGCAUCGGCUAACUCCGUGCCAGCAGCCGCGGUAAUACGGAGGAUGCGAGCGUUAUCCGGAUUUAUUGGGGUUAAAGGGUGCGUAGGCGGUCCGUUAAGUCAGCGGGAAAAUUGCGGGGCGCAACCCCGGCGAGCCGUUGAAACUGGCAGACUUGAGUGGGCGAGAAGUACGCGGAAUGCGCGGUGUAGCGGUGAAAUGCAUAGAUAUCGCGCAGAACUCCGAUUGCGAAGGCAGCGUACCGGCGCCAGACUGACGCUGAGGCACGAAAGCGUGGGGAUCGAACAGGAUUAGAUACCCCAGUAGUC